rnacentral:rRNA from 1 species
CCUACGGGAGGCAGCAGUGGGGAAUAUUGCACAAUGGGGGGAACCCUGAUGCAGCGAAGCCGCGUGAGUGAAGAAGUAUUUCGGUACGUAAAGCUCUAUCAGCAGGGAAGAAAAAAGGACGGUACGUGAGUAAGAAGCCCCGGCUAACUACGUGCCAGCAGCUGCGGCAAUACGUAGGGGGCAAGUGUUAUCCGGAAUUACUGGGUGUAAAGGGAGCGUCGACGGCAAUGCAAGUCCGGAGUGGAAUGCGGGAGCUCAACGGCCGAACUGCUCUGGAAACUGUAUGGCUUGAGUUCAGGAGGGGUAAGCGGAAUUCCUGGUGUAGCGGUGAAAUGCGUAGAUAUCAGGAGGAACCCCGGUGGCGAAGGCGGCUUACUGGACUGUAACUGACGUUGAGGCUCGAAAGCGUGGGGAUCAAACAGGAUUAGAUACCCCAGUAGUC